GGGCACUGCAAUGGCUUCUUGCCUGUGUGGGCACGCAGGUGUAUCUUCAUGCUGGUCUUAUAAGAGAAGCUUUUAGGGCAUGAAGGGCACUGAAAUGGCUUCUCACCAGUGUGGGUGCGUAGGUGUUCCUUCAUGUACGACUUGCGUGAGAAGCUCCGAGGGCAUGAAGGGCACUGAAAUGGCUUCUCACCAGUGUGGGUGCGCAGGUGGUUUUUCAGGAUGUCUCUUCUUGAGAAGCUCUGAGGGCACAAAUGGCACUUAAACAGACGCUCGCCACUAUGGACCCU